UCUAUUUGAACCAUAUAAAUAUUAUAAGAUUUUAUUUGGAGUUCCACCCAAUGGGGUAUUUAGCUAAGGAGGGGUUUAGUGCAAAUAUGCCAAACUAGUAUUUUAUUGGAGUUUAAACAAAUUUAUGAAACAAGUUUUCAUAAUGUAUUUUAAAAUCAAUUUUGAUUAUUACUUAUAAAGCCCUAAAAGCAAAUAUAUAAACAGAGGUAUUUUUAAAUAUUUUAUUUUGAAAUCAUUCAAGUCCCAGAGGCGUAUACGUUGGGUAUUUGAAUUUACAAAUUUUAUGGUAUUUAUUUGGUUUGAUUUGGAGUCAUAAAUCAAAAGAUAUGUUUUAAAAACAGAAAAUAGAUAAAAGAAAAAAAAAAGAAAAAGAAAGGAAGUCAACGGACCAGCCCGACCGAAUUGGGCCAAACCGGCCCAGCUUACCGCGCUCCUGAAGCCGCGGCCCAGCUAGCCCUGCGGCCCAUUCCCUCCCUUUGUCUUUUUCCUUUUUUUUCCCUCUUGGGCCAUCCUCUCCUCCCAGCCCAACUCUUAUUUCCUUCCUUCCUUUUUCCUCCUGGGCCGAACUUCUUCUGGCCCAUCUCUCCCCAGCGCUCAGCCUAGCCCGCACGAGAACGUCUUCCUCCUCUGCUCGUUCUCCAGAAACGCACGCACGCACACAGAGCCAUCACGGCCACAAUCUCCGCCCCAUUAAAACUCAUCAAAGCAGCCGUUGAUCCCGGAAUUAAGACCAGGAAAUCAAUCUCCAUAAUCCCGCAAACCGAUUCAGUGUAUGAAUCGUCGGUUUCCCCUGUUCAAUCCCCGUAACCCAGCACGCGCCCCGAAUGUCGCCCGUGGGCAUCCCGCUCCCGAUCUCCCUCCUUGGCCGGUAUAAAAGGAUUUCACGCGCGUUACUUUGAGCCUUUGCCUCUCCUCUCCCAUUCUGAUGUAGAAAGUUUGGCCUCAAAACCUUUAUACAGCCGGGACCAUCGACGUCCUCCUUCGCCGGUCAUCGUCGCCAUUGUUGCCGGUGAGAUCUCUACAAAGCUUCUUUUCCACAUUCCUUUCACCGGUAGGCUCCUAUGACCCGUUUCUACCU
rnacentral:lncRNA from 1 species